GGGGGUCCUACCCUACAUACAGUGCAGUGUGCUGAAGUGGAGAACUUUGUCCUGAAGAUGGCAGCAGAGUUCCCGUCCAGGAAGGAUCAGCUGAUCUUCCUCAUCAACAACUAUGACAUGAUGCUGAGCGUGCUGAUGGAAAUACAUGCGUACAUAUUGCUAAAGCAUCAUGAAUCAAUUCAAAAUACAUAUUUGCAGUG